UGUUUUACGCCUACACAUGUAAAAUAAUCUCCUGCCCAGUGAAUAUUCAACGGCCGCGGUAUCCUAACCGUGCAAAGGUAGCAUAAUAAUUUGCCCAUUAAUUGUGGGCUAGAAUGAAAGGGGCUCCGAAAUAAGAUCUGUUUCAAUAAGACAUACUAAAAACUACUCUAAAAGUGAAGAAGCUUUUAUUUAAAUAAAAGACAAGAAGACCCUAUAGAGCUUCAUCUAUUAAAAUAUAUUAUUCCAAUAGAUUCGGUUGGGGCGACCCAGGAAAAUUCAUCCUUAAAAUUUAGAUUUAUAAAUCUUACUAUAGAUCCAAUUAUGAUCACAAAAUCAAGCUACCUUAGGGAUAACAGGCUAAUCCUACUAUAGAGUUCAUAUCGACAGUAGGGAUUGGCACCUCGAUGUUGGCUUAGAUUACCUUUUUGGCGCAGAUGUCAUCAAAGGGGGUUUGUUCAACCCAUUAUCAUCU
rnacentral:rRNA from 1 species